UAGAAUAUCUUCAAACCAAAUUAGAAUUAUCCAAAUACGCUAAUCAUUAUUAAAGGCUGAUCCCCAAGCGCGCGAAGAAGGGCUGGAAGAAGGAUGGUCCUAAUAAAAGUGUGGAUACUCUUCUGGAAUUACAUUAGUAAUCUCAUGAAUAAGUCUGUGAUGCAACCAUUCUUCUGGGACAUUAAGUAAAAUCACUAUGCGUGGCCACUUUAUGUAAUUAAAUUAAACGCGUCGCUAGGAAACAAUCAAAAAGAAUAUUCAGAAAGCUCACAUAUAUCCUAAGAUACCUGAAAUAAUCAAAACUUAGCCUUUUUCUUUCAAUGGGUUGGUAGUGAUUCGGUUUAACAAGUCUGUAAAAUUGAGAAAUUUUUGAGAGUUCAUAUUACUAACUUCACAACUACGAUAGAACUUCACAAAUCCCGAAAGAUCCAAACACACAAACCAACAUCGCCUUUCAAAUACAAAUUUCUUCAACGAACACUUCAAAACUUUUUACUAAACUGCUUCGACACUUGGUAAAAAGUUUUCUCGACAAAAGAAAAGAUUUAAGCUUAUUAAAUCUAUCGGUAGUUCGUUCGAAACGCAAUAAUUGGACUACGAAUAUUUGUGAAGACUUAUAUUUUUAUAAACAUAACCAGAGAAAUGGAAGGGCCUACGUAGGGAUUUAUUUCGCUCCCUAAAUAUCAUAAGGAAUACUAUGUUUUGCGAUAUUUUAUAUAUUGUUGCAGGUUAUGUAUAUUCUACGCAUUUUUACAUUCUUACCUCUCAAUGGGUAUCUCGGUGACGCAUAAUAAUUUAGUGUAGGUUAUUUAAUCUUAAAGUAUUUAUUCUAAUUUGUAUCUCCUGAUUUACGUGAUAAAUAUCGUUAAUAUAUAUCAUCGCGUAAGAUAUAGGAUAUAAAUUAAAAUUAAAUAACCUAACCUAAAUAAUUGUUAUCAUCUAUGACUCAACAAUGCCAAUUAAAAAUUAAAUAUUUUAUAAAUAUUUAAAUAUCCGCAGUCCAGUGUUAACAAAGAAAGUCGACCAUAUAUUGCUGAAAGAUUCGAUUCAAACGAGUCAUAAAAUCUACCUGGUGUUUCAUCCACGUUCGAGUUAGCCCAAACGAAGAAAGGUACCGUGUAUCGCUGGUCAUAAAAGGAAUAUCGCCUGUGAACCACUUUUGAGAGAGAGUUUUACACAUCGGUAACACUUUUUUCCUCCCGUGGAUCACGAGGGCGCGAUUACCCGGUUCAAAGACGAGGCCCCCCUUUCGCUGAAUUUAUGGCUCGGGAAAGCAGUCUGUGAAAAAACUGCUGGAGGAUCGUCUUCCAAGGAAAAAAAUAUCGAAGAAAGAAAGAAGAGUGGCAUUAGGUGUCGUGGUGAAAAAGAACAAAGCUUUCGAGGAAGAUGGAGGGCAACCCGGAUGGCGAUGGCUUCGCAAGAAAAUUAUUGGGCGCGUUUCAACAUAGAAUAAAGAAAACAUGGUUGCUUGGUUCCUAUUACAUGAAUUCUAUCAUAUUCAAUAUCUGAUAUUCAAAGGAGUUUCUCUUAGAAAGUCAACAUUGUUUCCAAGAAGAAAAGAUCGAUAUAUUGAAGAUAUGGAAAGAAUAAACGUGGCCCAUCCAUUUCUGAGAUUCAUUCCACUGAUAACAAAUCUGAUUUGUGAGUAGACCUUCGAACACUCUAUGAAGUUUUCUAACUUGUACUAAGCGUACAAAACGUAAUUGGUCCGCGAGGUGGUGUUUUGUCAGAAACUGCACAUAGAAAAAUAAAAUUACAUUGUGAAUAGACAAAAAAAUAUGAAAUUGCUAAAAAUUGACAAGAAACGUUAUUACGUCCAUUCGCUAGAAAAAGUACAAACAAAAUGGUCGUUUGAGUGAGGCCAAAUUGCCAGGAGAUAACAACAUAAAUGGAACAGAAAGGUCCAGGAUGAAAUCAGGAAAAAACCAGAGAUGUAAAACUCGGUCAGAAGAGAACUAUAAUUGAAUAUAUGAAGGGAAGAAAUAUAUCGUAGAAAUGUUAUAAUGGUACUAUUUGAAGGCUUCGAGUUACUUAGGACAAGGUAAAAAAGGAAAAGUAAUUGCCAAGUUUAUUCCUGAGGGACCUAUCAGCAGAGGAGAUAUUAAACAGGGGAUCUCCUUUAGAUCUGUGACGUCUUGGUGUGAUAAGAAACACGUUUUCCAGGUCAAUGACGUACGGUAGAUUUGGAAGUAAAUUUAGGGGAAGAAAUUGCAAUUUGUAUGUACAGAUAAUUUAACCUAUAAAGUGAUAGAAUAUGUAUGCGAUUUUGAUUUUAAGUUAAUGCCAAGGAUUAGAAUUUGGAUUUAAAUUUAAAACUUCAAAUACAAGCAUAAAAAUUUGAAUUUAGAUAAGCACAAAAUAAAACAAAUAUCAGGUAUUGUUUUAGAUCUUCAGAAAUCAAAUACGAAAUAUUUUUCUUUCUUUUAAUAUUGCAACUCGAAGAAAUAGGAAAGAAAUAGAUUAUAAGAGACAACAAAAGAAACUAGAAAUUGAAAUUGAGCGCGGAAACUGUUGCUUUCCAACAUAUAUAUAUCUGUCAGACAUUGGGAAGCUGAGCAAGCACAAGCGUAUCGCAGUUUAUCAAGGCAGGAAAGCAAGACAGAUGCCUAGCAUAAUUUCAGAGGGAUGUUUCUUGAAUGAAGCUCCAAGUACUCCAAGCUCGUAUAUGGCCUUGCAACACAAUACUAUUGAUGAAUCACCGGGGAAAUCCUCUCUUCUUGAUAUGUAGGGUAAUUCUACUAUCACCAUUAACAAAAUAAACCACAGUUCCUUAGAUUUUCAAAUAUCUGCCUUUUCCCUGUAUCUGGGAUAUCAGACGAAGGAAUUUAUAGCAAACUGUAACAAUACAAAGUGGGUUCUAACAUACUCAAACUCAAAGAAAUACGUUGGUAUAAUAUAAAUUAUAAGACCAAUGAAAACAGUAAGAAUUGUAUUACAUUAAUUUUAUUAUUAUCAAUGAUCACUUGCGUUUCUUUAUUGUCGAUUUAAGACAAAACAAUUCUUCAUUUUUAAUAAAAUGCUUUUUAUUUUAUAUUUUUACUUUACAAUAUCAUUUUGAAUAGUCCAAUCAAAACUAUUUAUCUUUAAAAUCUUAUUUAAAAUCUCAGGAAAUAAAUUGUUCUACAGACAUUGAUAUAAUUUAACAGUUUUCUACAAACUUUGAACAGUGUUAGCAAUUUUGACAAAUACGUCGUUUUUUUCUCCUCCUCUCUCCAUUUAUAAAGAGAGAAAACACAACAGUCUCUGUACAAUUACCGAAAAUUGCGUCAGUUCGAGUAUUCGAGGAAAUUCAAUAUCACGGUGCCGUCUUUCGUGCGAAGAUCGAGUCCGAGAUUCGUGCCAAGACAAAAGAAAGGAGGGAGGGAGAAAGAAAAGAAAGCAACAGGAUACUGUGUUCGGUUACGUGGGAGUGUCACCGUGUGACGGCAAGCUAUUUUCCCAUGUCUCGAUACCUAAAACGACUUUCAGAAAAGUUAAGAGCUCCUGUAUCUCAACAAAGAAAUUCGAAUGAUUUUCUUUCUUCUUUUUUAUAUAUAUGUAUAUUUAUAUAAAAAGUAAGAAUAAGAAAAAAUCUAUUCAAAUUGAAAAAUCGGAAAAAAAGAAAAUUACUGUUGAAAUAGAGAAACAAGGGGAAUAAUGUUAUACGUGGUUCGAAUAAGUAUAAAGAAACUCAAUUAUUAUUAAUCCAGUUAAUUAAAUUAUUUGCUAAUCAAGUUUGCACAAUACUCGGGUUUAAAAUACGGUGGAUCUAUUUUGUCUCAGCAAUAAAAUCCCCAUUGAUUAUUUUUGUGCGUCGCGCAUUAAACUUCGAGUCAUUGAAGAAUUUCCUGGAAGACGUGUCGAAAGCAUUUGCGUCAGAUUUUCGUCAAUACAACACUGAUUCAAUAAUUCCAAUUGAAAGAGCAGGGUAUAGGAAAAAAAAUAAUUGCUUUGAAUACAUAUUGCUUGUUUUAAUCUAAAGAUUUGGUCUGUCCAGGUGAGGCUAAAUUCAACCCUUCAAUAUAGUGCAAGUUAUCUUAUAACAAGAAUCAUGAUGUUAAAACUCAGAGAAAACAAAUAGCUGUCAGCUAUAAGUUCAAACCGUACACAUUGUACUGGUGUUUUCUAAUACAUAAAAUUGAAACCAGGUGUAAGUUAAAAAGACUAAGAAGAAGAACGCUAAAUUUAAGACUAAAUCCAGAGAUUAAGAUGAAGUAUUACGAACCAUGCGAUUACUCGGAUUUUUACUUCUGACUUCCCUAUUUUUACAUUUUGGUACUGUUCUUGUAUUGCUAUUAUAUUGUUAAUAUUCAACAUUGUUCAUGUGGCUUAUAGACCAAUGAGGGUCCAUAGCUUGUACUCAAUGAAAAAAGAAAGUAGUGCAAGUUCCAAUCGAAUCACAAGCUUCGCCGAGCUUACAAGGCAAAUCCUCUGCAAACUCGGUCGGUAAAGGGGCUAAAAACCGCUUAAACGUUAAUCUCAAACCGCCAUCCUUCCUGCUCGAUCUCCGUCCAGCUUGAAGAUUCUGAAAGUUCCAGUUGCACGCCAAUUUCGCUUUA